rnacentral:lncRNA from 1 species
CUUAGGAGGAGCACUGCACAACCACAGGGGUGCCAUUCGCAAAGAUGAUACCGUAAGUGGCAUCCCCGGGAGCUGCUGGUCCUCAGCUCUAUCAUGGCAACUGAGGCAGCAUUCAGCAUGAAAGUGACCAAGCUCCCUCUUCCCUUUGCGUUACUUCCAACCAAGAAGAGAGCCUCGUGUGACCCAGCCUUCACGUCCCCUACUGAAGCCACAACAAGGACUCUUAGCAUUACUCAUGUCAGGACAGAGUCAUAG